UCGCUCAACUGUAUUGACUUACAACCCACAACAACAAGUGUGCUGGUACACGCCACUGCGUAGCGGCAACCCGAUCCCGCCCCUGCGUGGCUCUGAUCACAACCCUGGGGCCGCUCCAAAGGGAAAGUCGAUCCCGGGGUCCACACAUUGUGGCCAGGAAAGGACUUUGCGGCGCUAAAAGCCUUUGGAAUCCGAUCCUUAUUCAAGCCUGUAUUCUCAUGUCGGGGUGAGCAAAGUACAGCGGCGGCUUUUCGAGGAACACACACAGACUCUGCUGGAAUAGUUUGUGCCGGAUCAGUUUGUGACUGACAAUUCCGAGUAGUUCAGCGGAAGGCGAGCGGGGAGAGGGGCCGGGGAGCGCCAGGUGUGCCCAGGUGCGGGGGGUUAAGGUGCAGCCGGUGAUCCUCGGCUGGCCCUCCUCCACGGACUCUGGCUUUGAAUGAGGGCUCGCCAGCCAGCCUGCCACAGCCGCAACCCUGAGCCAGAGCCAGAAGGCGCAGCAGGGCGUCCUCCUGGGACAACCUUCUGGACCCGUCCCUCCACUGCAGCUCUGCGCUGGAGCUCAACACGCGCAACACGCCUCCUCAGGACCCCCUCCAGUGCCAGCUCCCUCACCUCGUACUGAGGGCACUGCAGCAGACACUGCAGGAGCCGGCCUGCGGGCCGAGGACCCCCCCAGAGCUCGGGGACGUCCACGCCGGCGCUGAGGGCCAC